rnacentral:misc_RNA from 1 species
GUGAAUUAAACUUGCUUGGUGUCUUCGCUUUGGCAAGACCCUUGCUUAACUCACAUCCUAACACCUGUGAACUGUAAGGCGCAUGAUGAGGCCUCGGCCAAGUCGUCGUCUGCCCUUUUAACAAACGAUUAAUGUAACAAACGUAGUCUUAUUAUAACCUAAUA